GGGGGGGGGGGGGGGGGGGGGGGGGGCGGGCGGGGGGGGGGGGGAGGGGGGGGGGGGGUGGGGUGGUCGGGGGGCGGACGGGGGCGUGGCACGUGGGUGGCCUGCCCUUGCCUUUGGGAUAGCUUGAGGCAGAUGGUGCUACUCCCGGGUAGUCGCUCCAUCUGCAUGGUGGGUGUUGGACAGGUUCGGCGGUUGGGGAUGGACUAGCGGCUUAUCAGCUUGGUGGUGGGGUAGUGGCUUACCAAGGCGUUGACGGGUAGCAGGCCUGAGAGGGUGACCAGCCACAUUGGGACUGAGAUACGGCCCAGACGCCUACGGGAGGCAGCAGUGGGGAAUAUGGCACAAUGGGCGGAAGCCUGAUGCAGCAACGCCGCGUGCGGGAUGACGGCCGUCGGGUUGUAAACCGCUUUCGCCUGUGACGAAGCGUGAGUGACGGUAAUGGGUAAAGAAGCACCGGCUAACUACGUG
rnacentral:rRNA from 1 species